rnacentral:rRNA from 1 species
GACGUAGGGCGCGAGCGUUGUCCGGAUUUAUUGGGCGUAAAGAGCUCGUAGGCGGUUUGUCGCGUCUGCUGUGAAAACUCGGGGCUUAACCCCGGGCCUGCAGUGGGUACGGGCAGACUAGAGUGCGGUAGGGGAGAUUGGAAUUCCUGGUGUAGCGGUGGAAUGCGCAGAUACCAGGAGGAACACCAGUGGCGAAGGCGGCUUACUGGUCCGGUACUGACGCUGAGGUGCGAAAGCGUGGGGAGCAAACAGG